AGGGCGAACAAUUAAAUGAUUAAAUAAUCAUGUUUAUUCUGUAGUUCGGUGUCGUUUUUUCGCGAAAAGUGUAUGAAUGUUCAGUUUGUUACCAACAGUAGACGAAAUCAGUCAAUAAUCGCAUUAUUAGAUGGGUAAUAUAGAGUCAUUGUGGCUCUUAUGGCAAGUGCGGUAAUUUGUGACAGUGUAGUUAACUUGUUGAGCAUUAAUGGGCAGAAAGUGGAGGAUGGGCCAGCGUGCAAAAACUUGGUGUCACUUUGCAGCUUUCGAGCCAUUAUGGUUUCUGGAUCUUCGGAACAAUCUGGACUUCGCCGGUUGUCACAAAGUGAGUUGAAUACUUCUUGUAAGUUACGUAGUUAAAUCCAGCUAUUAUUCGAAUUGUUACCAUAACUUGUACUUCCGGAAUUUUGUGACGAAUUCGCCCUCAGUCUCUUUAUAAGUUUUACAAACAAUUUGUACUUUUUGAGAAUUAGUUAAAUGUUAUAACUAUGGCUUUUCUACUGGCGAUUUACAAAAAAAUUAUCGCUCAGGAAAAGGGUAGGAAAAUCAAAUAUUUAUUACAAGAGCAUAGCUUAAUCUUUUGCAUUUAAUUACCACUGUUUCCUUCUAUUUAAUAUUGUCAUACGAGUAGAUGGGCACUCAUUUGGAAAAUUUUCCCGCUGUUUUCUCGUAACUGAUCCAGGUUUAUUUCUAUUUUCACUAAAUAACAUAUUUUGGAUGUUUUCGUUAAAGGGCGUUUACUAUGAAUGGAAUACUUUUAUUUAAAGAUUAACUAACAAUCGUUAACGAGAAAAUGCGUAUUGUUGUUCUCAGUGAGCAAAU